rnacentral:rRNA from 1 species
AACGAACGCUGGCGGCAGGCUUAACACAUGCAAGUCGAACGCCCCGCCAGGGGUUUGGCGGGCGGGUGGGUAGCGCGUGGGAACAUACACUUUUCUACGGAAUAGCUCUGGGAAACUGGAAUUAAUACCGAAUACGCGCUACGAGGGAAAGAGUUAUCGGGGAAGGUUUGGGGCGCGUGGGAUUAUCGGGUGGGUGGGGUAAAGGCAUACCAAGGCGACGAGCCAUGGCUGUUAUGAGAGGCUGAUCAGCCACAUCGGGACUGCGACACGGCCCACACUCCUACGGGAGGCAGCAGUGGGGAAUAUUGGAGAAGGGGCGCAAGUCUGACCCAGCCACGUCGGGUGAGUGAUGCAGGCCUUAGGGUUGUAAAGCCCCCUCAGCGAUGAAGAUAAUGACGGUAGUCGGAGAAGAAGCCCCGGCUAACUUCGUG